rnacentral:rRNA from 1 species
GAUGAACGCUAGCUCUAGGCUUAACACAUGCAAGUCGAGGGACCGGCGCACGGGUGAGUAACGCGUAUCCAACCUUCCCAUAACUAAGUGAUAACCCAGCGAAAGUUGGACUAAUACCUUAUGGUUAUGGAUGGGGAUGCGUCUGAUUAGCUUGUUUGCGGGGUCACGGCCCACCAAGGCAACGUUCAGUCGGGGUUCUGAGAGGAAGGUCCCCCACAAUGGAACUGAGACACGGUCCAAACGCCGACGGGAGGCAGCAGUGAGUAAGAUUGGGCAAUGGACGCGAGACUGAACCAGCCAAGUAGCGUGGAGGAUGACGGCCUAUGGGUUGUAAACUGCGUGUAGAUGAGAGUAGGUACCAUAUGAAUAAGGACCGGCUAAUUCCGUGCCAGCAGCCGCGGUAAUUC